GUGUGGAGACAAAAUGUAAGAAGCCAACAGAGAAGGUACCUCACUAACGCCAAUACAUGCACACGCUUCAGUUGAAAAAUGUGAUCAACGCAUAUUUGAAGGUGCUUGUACAGAAAUACAACCAGUGCAAUGUUGGUGAAGCAGCUGUUAUUGACACCUAUGCUAUGACGGCAAUCUGGCAAAAAAAUUUUGGAAGAAGCCGGAUUGAUCCAGUGGCACACAAAGUUAUUGUGGGAAUUGUGAUUUAGAACCAUCACUGGAUGUUGGUGAUGCACUCAGGAAAUAUAUGCAGAGGCCCCCAGCUGCUGGAGAAGUUACACCUGAUCUCCCAUCUACACCACUCUCUGAAGCAGGAAAUCCCUGCUCUUCCUUUUGGUUGCCUUAGCAGUGGACUGUGGAGCUGCAGUAGCUGCAGUUGCAGUCAUCUCUCCCUCACUCCCCUCUGCCUGCCUCCUCCUACCUGACUGUGUGAGUAACUGUGUAUAUAGUACUCGGGCAUAAGGAAAGCUCUGUUUCGCUGUCGGCCAUUUAGGACCUGUUACUGGCAGUUGCUCUCUGUCUCCAGGUUAAGCCCAGGAGCCAGAUGGAGUCCUGUCUGAGGGAGGACGACAGCCUCAGGGAGGACGCAGCUGAUCUGUUCAAACAUCAGGCUUAACAGUCAGAAAUUCAUGCUACGACACUAUUUAAACAUUCAUUCACUGGUAUAGUCAGACUGUGACAAGCAGCAUGCCUGCACCCUAUUGGGGUGGACCCAGGGACAUAUUUUCGUGAAGGCUCAUCGACCAGCGCAAGCAGCGCUCCGACUGUUUGGUAUUUUCCUGAUCUUGAAACUCACUUUGUGCAUCUGUGCGGUAUUUUGGUGACCAGCACAGAGCGCACGGUGCAUUGAUGGGAGGAGAGGCGCUGACAGCAGCGCAAAGACAGUUGUUGUUUUUUGGUUAAAAUUUCUCAGAACCAUGUCUAUUUGUGGCGCAACGUCACACUGGUUUUGUGAUUUACCAACAGGAUCAAACUAAAUACUAAAUACUAAAUACUAAGUCACAGUCUGCACGCCUAACGCCUGGGCCACACAGCCUACUUCUACCUGAGCAGUGUGUGUGCAUCGCUGAACUGCUGCGGCUCGCAGGCCUGCGGUAUCCACACAGACAGCGUUGCUGCUGCGGUGCUGCUGCUGCCAGCUCUAUCUUUCUACAUAGAGUUUGAAUUUUAUAUUGGCCAUCAAUAAUAGCAUGUUUCAUAUCAUUUCAUUAUGAAUUUCAUUUAUAUUUAGUUUAACCAAAAAAAGGUUAAGAAGCGUGUGCUUGAUUGUGAAAAAUAAAUAAUAAAUUAUAUGUGAGGGUUAGGGUUGGGUGAAAGCAGCUUUCUUUCUGACAGACAUGGUGGGGUCUGGUUGGGGAUACUGUGUGUCAGUCACACACUCCUCACACAGGACGUGUUUCUUUUUCAUUGAUUAUACUGAUUAUUCCGCCAAUUAAUCCCUUGCUGUCACCACUCCAAGUGAUUAAUGAUGUUGUCAAUGGCGGCCGGGCAAUAUCCUAGAAGGCUUGAAAGUUUUGUCAUGUCUUCCAGGCUCUCGUUGUGCUUUAAUGUCUCCCCCACAUUGAACAAAGACAUGUGCUGCAAUAUCUCCACAUUAUCUAGGAGCCUUGCUUUUAGUUCAUUUGCUAAGGAGAUGGUGUAGCUCACACAUCUCCUUCGCACACAGUCCUCCUCCUCAGGGGAGAAGUUCACCUUGGACUCAAAUGUAUAGCCAAGGUAUGGCUUGGGAGAGAUGUGUCCAUCUAUUGGCUCUUUGAGCAUGUCAAUUGUUGCCAUGGGGUUGAUGACUCUACUGCAGACAGACUUUAUAAGCUUUAUUAAACAGUCAAGCAGCUUGAGCAGAUCCAUCUGUUCCCCUUCAAAAGCCUUAACAGCAGACUGCACCUCACUAAUUAUAGAUUUUAAAAAAGUGAGGUACAGGAGGUUCUGUGGGUCACUGUACAUGGAGUGUAGAACAUCUGCCAUGUAGCAAUGUUCACGUGCCAUGGUGAGGUUAAAAGCAAUUUUAAUUCCUCCCACUGAUCCAGGAUUCUGGACAUGGCAGGCUCUAUGGAAAGCCAGUGUGUGCCACAGACCAUAGUUAUCAGUAAAGGCUUCUCCCUACAGUUUAUUGUCUCAUAGACGGCUUUGUAUGCCUCUUUGCACUUUGGUGAAAUAGAGAACCAAUUAUAGGUUUCUCUAACAAGGAAUUCCACACUACGUGGAAGUGUGUUUUUGGAGGCAGAGCUUACAGCUAACUGUAGUGAGUGACACACACAGUGGAUGAGGACCAUGUGUUUUAUUAUAUGCAUCAUCUGUGCCAAUGCCAAGCAGGUUCUCCCUCUUGAGGCCACACUUCCCAAGAAAAGCUAGAACUGCUCUGGCUAUUGAUCUAGCAUCCCCUCCCUCCAGCUCAAGAAGGCCUAGGUAAGUGGCCACCACAUUUCCCUCGACCUCACUAAAAUACCAAUACGACCCCAAGGUACUUUGAGACACUUACAUUGGUGCUUUAAUCAAGAAGGAGGCUGUAUUUGCUGUCACUAAUAUCGCCACCUUAAGCCGCUUUCAAGAGAAUAUGGUGCCAACACACCAUUGAUCAUUUCAGUACAUUUCAUAUGGUGCAUCUGGAAAUUUUUGGCUGCACUGGAAUCUGUAAAAGCAGCCUUACAUGCCUGACAGAUGUGGUCACACGAAAGAAUGGAACAAUGCUCUGCAAUAGCCAAUGCCAUUGUUGCCUCUGCCUGUUCUCAAGAGUUUGUGUUUUCUGUAAAAAAAAAAAAAAAAAAAAAAAAGGUAAUGUAGAUUGCUUUGCUUGGUUGUAUUGCUUGGACUUUUCAGUGUGCAAAGAAUUUUUAAUGUGUUUGUAGUGUGUGUAUUUGUAUUUAUAUUUAUA